rnacentral:lncRNA from 1 species
CUCCUCCACAAUUACUGCAGAGUCAGAAGUGGAAUUUCCGCCUGAUGUUUUAUGUCAAAAUCAGUAUGAAAGACUGCAGCAUGCUGAGUGAGCUUUCCGUUCUCGCUGAGAUGCAAUGCAGGGUCCACCCUCUGCAGGCCACAAUUUUGCCUGGAGGCAAAGCAUUCAGUCUUUCCAUUGGCCUGACAAUUUGAGCCAAGCUUUGAGGCCAACAGACAAAAUGCACUAGCAACUGGAGAGGGCCUGCCUGGUGGCCCUCCCUGUGAGAAGGUAUUCUUCCUGCUCCAUUGACAUCAGGCUUAUUAGCCAUGUUUCUGGAUUUGGUCCAUUUCAUGAUAAAGAGAACAUGGAGCAGGGCUGCAGCUGAUCUUCAAAGGGCAUGAACACAAGCCAGAGAGAAGCCGUUAUUGUUGUAAGCCCUGAAGAUUUGGGGGAUAUUAUUGCAACACAACUCAGCCCAAGCUGACUAAUACAACAAGUUUCUAUGUAUACAUGGAAAUGUAUGUAAUCUUAGCCUCAAUUCAAACAAGUGAGGAAACUUGAUUUGUUUUGGAGAAAAAAAGAGAGAGAAUCACUAUGACUAAUAACAGAGCCUAUCUGUUCUGGGUACCAGAGAUCCCCGGUUGGUGACCCCAUCCCUGACUGCAGCAUUAAGUCCUGAGUCAUCUAUCCCAAUCAGCUCGUAGCAGUCUUCUUAAUGUCUCCUAUUGUUUAAGCAUGGUCAUUUGCCUAAAUCGAUACAAUAAGACUAAAUUAAAGGAUAUAUACUUCAGUAAUUUACAUGCUUCAGGUAAAGAUUUCUCACCCUUGCUGACAUGAACAUGGAGCACAAAGCUUUUAAGACCACGGAUUUUUUAGCUGCUGUCUUGGCACUAUGAGGGGACCCAGCCUUAGGAUGAAGCCAGGUGCUGAGGACAGCAGAGCACAGGAAUGGAAAGAACUCACGUCUAUGAUAACAUCUUUGAACUGAUAAUUAUACUGCACCUGGAUGCCUCUUACCUCUGGACUUAAUGUUAUGUGAGGCAAUCGAUUUCCUUAUUCUUAUGAAAACCAGUUUCUGUGAAACUGAUCAGUAUCAAGCAUGAAGCAUGCUUCAUGAAGCAGCAUCAGACAGUAGAAAAUACCAGGGCAGCUGCAGGUCACAGCCCUGAAAUCUGGCCAUGGGGUUCAUAUCCUGCUUCCACUUGUGCUAGCUGUGUGGCCUUGGGGAACAUACUCAACCUCUGGCGGCUUCAGUUUCUGCAUCUGAAAAACAAUGAUAAUAAUAGAGUUCCUCACAGGAUAAAUGUGCGUAACACACAUAAUGUAGUGCCUGGCCCA